UUAUAACCUUUCGGAACCAAAAAGUUAUAAGGAAUGUAAGAAUGUUAUUAAAUUUUUACUUUCAUCGUCGCAGAUUCAGAUUCGAGUUCAGAAAACCAGACGCAAUUCUUGAUCCUAUUGUUAUUAUUUAUACGAUUUGGAUAUUCCAACAUUUCUAGUUAUUUCGAGGAAGCAUUAGCGGGGAUACCUUACGUGCAAGGUGAAAAAGGUCAAUACCGGCUUUUGUCAAUAAAGGACAGAAUAAACCAUGCGGCUCAUAAUCCUGGACACGGCCGACUACGUGGGCGAAUGGUCGGCCAAGUACGUCAUGAAGCGCAUCAAUGACUUCAAACCGGGCCCGGACCGGUUCUUCACGCUGGGCCUCCCAACUGGAUCCACUCCGCUGGGCUUGUACCGCAAUCUGAUCAAAUUCCACCAAGCGGGCAGAAUUUCCUUCAAGUACGUGAAAACAUUCAACAUGGACGAGUACGUGGAUUUGCCGCGGGACCAUCCGGAGAGCUAUCACUACUUCAUGUGGCACAACUUCUUCAAACAUAUCGACAUCGAUCCGGUGAAUGUGCACAUUUUGGAUGGAAAUGCGCCGGAUUUGGUGGCCGAGUGUAAUGCAUUCGAGGAUAAGAUCAAAACGGCCGGAGGAAUCGAACUGUUCAUCGGCGGAAUCGGGCCGGAUGGGCACAUUGCUUUCAACGAGCCGGGGUCAAGUUUGGUGUCGCGAACGAGGGUGAAAACUCUGGCGCAAGAUACACUAGAGGCCAACGCGCGGUUCUUUGGCAACGAUAUCAGCAAAGUUCCGAAGCAAGCGCUGACCGUCGGAGUGGGGACGGUGAUGGACGCCCGGGAGGUGAUGAUUCUGAUCAUUGGUGCGCACAAGGCCUUUGCCUUGUAUAAGGCGAUUGAGGAAGGGGUUAAUCACAUGUGGACGGUCAGUGCCUUCCAGCAGCAUCCGCAUACGAUUAUGAUAUGCGAUGAGGAUGCCACGCUGGAACUUCGUGUUAAAACCGUGAAGUAUUUCAAGCAUCCGAGCAUCGAGCAACACCCUUCUGUGCACUGUAUCGUUCACUUCGGCUUCGCACUCAACCACACUGCAUUUGCUUUCUGUUAACAUACACCGUACUGCUGUUCCGAAGACAAGCCAAAGGCGGGGGACGAGGAUCAAUAACCCACUACCUGGCAUAACGGCACUAGUUCUGCUCCUGCUGGUUUACUGGUGUGGCAAAGGAUUGUUACGUUUUGGCCGCAGCCAGCGGAAACCUUGAUGAUGCUACUCGGCCCAACUGAUGAUGUGAGUUCGAAUCUAUAGACCGAAUUAUGUAUAAAUCCAUCGAUGGGAAAUGGUUGGGUGACAUCCUUUCCGAAUAUCCUUCCAUCCACCUAGUUCAAGACGCGUUUGACCUUUGCCACAUCAUCAUUAUAAUCGCCCACCCCGAUCCGAGAAAGGAUUUUACGAACGGGACGCAACGGAAGCAAAACCUUAAGCAAGUGAAGUAGCUUGUACGACGUCCAUUCAAAGCUGAUUGAAGGUACGUAGAAGAAAGGAAAGUGUUUCCUGCUGACGACCGGGCGAUAUGUGGCGGUGGUGACGGCUCCACCGUGUGCUGCCGAACGACCAAGCAUCACCCUUUCAGGCAAUUUUCAUAGUCACUCGAUUCCAAAGGGUAGAAUUAACUUUUACGAUAAUUUGUGUUACUUUUUAGGUUUUGUAAUUCCGUUCAGAUCUGUCCCUUUAUUCCUGUACAAAAAGAUUAAAGCUGGUAUAUGUUUUCUUCUCUCCGGUAAUAAAGAAGAUUGUGUACUGAA